rnacentral:rRNA from 1 species
UACGGAGGAGGCAAGCGUUGCUCGGAAUCACUGGGCGUAAAGGGUGCGUAGGCGGCGCGGUAAGUCGGGUGUGAAAUCUCGGAGCUUAACUCCGAAACUGCAUUCGAUACUGCCGUGCUUGAGGACUGGAGAGGAGACUGGAAUUUACGGUGUAGCGGUGAAAUGCGUAGAUAUCGUAAGGAAGACCAGUGGCGAAGGCGGGUCUCUGGACAGUUCCUGACGCUGAGGCACGAAGGUCAGGGGAGCAAACGGG